UACGGAGGGGGCUAGCGUUGUUCGGAUUUAUUGGGCGUAAAGAGCGUGUAGGCGGCCUGGUAGGUCUGCUGUGAAAACUCGAGGCUUAACCUCGAGAUGUCGGCGGAAACCAUCUGGCUAGAGUCCGGAAGAGGAGAGUGGAAUUCCACGUGUAGCAGUGAAAUGCGUAGAUAUGUGGAGGAACACCGAUGGCGAAGGCAGCCCCCUGGGCCUGCACUGACGCUCAUGCACGAAAGCGUGGGGAGCAAACAGG
rnacentral:rRNA from 1 species